GGGUCCCAGUAAGGACUACUGGUGAAACGAGCGAGGAGCGAGCUACUCGGGGGCUGCUGAACAGAGCCCACCAGCGGGGACAGGGCACUGCCCAGGGAGCGCGGCGGCCGGACGUGGCCGCGGAGCCUGCCACAAAGGCGGCCGCUCGGAGCAGGGCGCUGUCAGAGGUGUGAGGAAUCUCGGGGGAGAUGUCACCAGCGAGCCCCGUGCGCGACGGGCCAAGAGGGGCCGGGGAGGAGUCACCGAGCUGGCGGGCAGCGCGGCGCUCCCCGGGGCGAGCCCGGCGCGGGAGGGCAGCGCGGCUCCCGGGGAGCGGGGGCGCCCGCGGGCCGGGCCCGGGGACAGGCGUGGGGCCAGGCGAGGACAGCGGCCGGGCGGCGGCAGCGGGGAAGCUUUGGCAAUUACUUCACAACCAGUAAAUAGCAGCUUGGAGCAUAGGCCCGCAGCUGCAGAGCCAGCAGCCAUGACCCGGUGAGACCACGGCCCUGGGUGCGGGCAGCGCGGGAGGGACCUCUAGGGAAGGGAAGUCCAGAGGAAAAAGGAUGUUAAAGUCCAGCUGUCCAGUGUCCUCACAUUCAGAUUCUGCCAUGACCUGUGCACAACACACACUCUACGACUCCAAAGGCCCGGAGGUUGGGAUGCCAAGAUUCACCAUGUGAGUAUGUUUUGCCAUUUGAAACACAAACUACAGAAGAAAAGAAAAAGAAGAAGAAGUUCAAGUGGAGA